UACAGAGGGUGCGAGCGUUGUCCGGAAUCACUGGGCGUAAAGAGCGCGCAGGCGGUCGUUCAAGUCGAGUGUGAAAGCCCCCGGCUCAACUGGGGAGGGUCACUCGAUACUGAUCGACUUGAAGGCAGGAGAGGGAAGCGGAAUUCCCGGUGUAGUGGUGAAAUGCGUAGAUAUCGGGAGGAACACCAGUGGCGAAGGCGGCUUCCUGGCCUGCUCUUGACGCUGAGGCGCGAAAGCUAGGGUAGCAAACGGG
rnacentral:rRNA from 1 species